rnacentral:rRNA from 1 species
UACGGAGGGUGCAAGCGUUGUUCGGAUUUAUUGGGCGUAAAGCGCGUGUAGGCGGUUUGUUAAGUCUGAUGUGAAAGCCCCGGGCUCAACCUGGGAAGUGCAUUGGAAACUGGCAGACUUGAAUACGGGAGAGGGUAGUGGAAUUCCUAGUGUAGGAGUGAAAUCCGUAGAUAUUAGGAGGAACACCGGUGGCGAAGGCGGCUACCUGGACCGAUAUUGACGCUGAGACGCGAAAGCGUGGGGAGCAAACAGG